rnacentral:tRNA from 1 species
GCAUCCGUGCAGGUCAGAGCCCCACUGUUCGCACUCCCACCAGGUGCCUUCUAAGCACUUGGCCGCAGGUUCGAGUCCUGCCGGGGGCGCCA